rnacentral:rRNA from 1 species
GAGACUCUGUGCGCGUGCAUAUCAAUAAGCGGAGGAAAAGAAACUAACAAGGAUUCCCUUAGUAACGGCGAGUGGAGCGGGAAGAGCUCAAAUUUGAAAUCUUCAAGGUUCUACCUUGACGAAUUGUAGUUUAUAGAAGUGUUUUCUGUUAGUAGAGUGGCAAAAGUUCUUUGGAAUAGAACAUCAUAGAGGGUGAGAAUCCCGUAUUUGGUCAUUCUUCUAGCGUUGUGAUACACUUUCAACGAGUCGGAUUGUUUGGGAAUGCAGUCCAAAAUGGGUGGUAAAUUUCAUCUAAAGCUAAAUAUUGGCGAGAGACCGAUAGCGAACAAGUACCGUGAGGGAAAGAUGAAAAGAACUUUGAAAAGAGAGUUAAACAGUACGUGAAAUUGUCAAAAGGGAAGCGUUUGACACCAGUGUUGUUUUUCCGAAAAUCAAUUACGAAUGUUUUGUUUUUGAGGAGUUAUGACUUCAUCGGCUUGCUUCUCUCUUUACGAAACUUUCUUAAUGCACUUUUCGGUUAACAAGUCAACAUCAAUUUCUUUUGUUGUAAAAGGGUAUGAGGAAGGUGGCUUUCUUUUCGGAGAAAGUGUUUAUAGCCUUGUAGCCUCUGCAAUCGGAGAGAUUGAGGUCUGCAGCGUAGAUCCUUCGGGGUUAGAUACAGUUUGUGCUAAGUUAUAGCUUUUCAUAGACAACUUGUUGACUAUGUUUAGUCUUGUAGCUUACUCGCUUACUGCUAUUUUACCUACGCUUAGGAUGUUGAACUCUAUCACACACAG